rnacentral:rRNA from 1 species
UGUCCGGAUUUACUGGGUGUAAAGGGCGACGUAGGCGGACUGUCAAGUCAGUACGUGAAAUACCGGGGCUUAACCCCGGGGCUGCGAUUGAAACUGACAGCCUUGAGUAUCGGAGAGGAAAGCGGAAUUCCUAGUGUAGCGGUGAAAUGCGUAGAUAUUAGGAGGAACACCAGUGGCGAAGGCGGCUUUCUGGACGACAACUGACGCUGAGGCGCGAAAGUGUGGGGAGCAAACAGGAUUAGAUACCCUGGUAGUCCCACACCGUAAACGAUGGAUACUAGGUGUAGGAGG